ensembl:lincRNA Gm29482 predicted gene 29482
ACUCUAAGUCAAAGUCUCCCUGGCUCAAUGACGGCCCUUUCUCUCAAGCCCUCUUCUUCCACUGAGACCCUCUGCGGGAGAGUAGUGCUGAAUCUCAGGUGAACAGAGGAGGGUGGUGAAGAGGGCAGAACUGAAGAACAUCAAAGUCCCAGCAUUCAAGAUAGGCAUCUCUCACCUUGAAGUCUUUUAAAAACUCCAAAUGGGGCAAAAAUAAAAGCCCAAAGGAAAA